rnacentral:rRNA from 1 species
UGGUGGAGUGAUUUGUCUGGUUUAUUCCGUUAACGAGCGAGACCUCGACCUGCUAAAUAGUACCGGGCGCGCUUCGGCGCGUGCUGGAGACUUCUUAGAGGGACUAUCGGUGGUUAGCCGGUGGAAGUUCGAGGCAAUAACA